GCAUAUCAAUAAGCGGAGGAAAAGAAACCAACAGGGAUUGCCUUAGUAGCGGCGAGUGAAGCGGCAAAAGCUCAAAUUUGAAAUCUGGCGGCCUCGUCGUCCGAGUUGUAAUUUGAAGAAGGUAUCUUUGGGUCUGGCGCUUGUCUAUGUUCCUUGGAACAGGACGUCACAGAGGGUGAGAAUCCCGUGCGAUGAGCAGUCCAGAUCCGUGUAAAGUUCCUUCGAAGAGUCGAGUUGUUUGGGAAUGCAGCUCUAAGUGGGUGGUAAAUUCCAUCUAAAGCUAAAUAUUGGCGAGAGACCGAUAGCGAACAAGUACAGUGAUGGAAAGAUGAAAAGAACUUUGAAAAGAGAGUGAAAAAGUACGUGAAAUUGUUGAAAGGGAAGGGCUUGCGAUCAGACUUGGUAUUUUGUAUGUCUUGCUUUCGGGCGGGGCCUCUGCAGUUUACUGGGCCAGCAUCGGUUCGGGUGGCAGGACAAUUGCGGAGAAAUGUGGCACGG
rnacentral:rRNA from 1 species